rnacentral:rRNA from 1 species
UGGUGGAGUGAUUUGUCUGGUUAAUUCCGAUAACGAACGAGACCUCAGCCUGCUAAAUAGCUACGCUCAUUUAGUUUUGUUUCAGAUUUCCUAACGUCUUGGGCAACUGAGAUUUUAGGUGCUGAAAUCGAUGGGUGGCUUAGCUUCUUAGAGGGACUAUCGGUGACUAACCGAUGGAAGUUUGAGGCAAUAACA